rnacentral:rRNA from 1 species
GACGUAGGGCGCGAGCGUUGUCCGGAUUUAUUGGGCGUAAAGAGCUCGUAGGUGGCUCAUCGCGUCUGCCGUGAAAACCCGCAGCUCAACUGCGGGCUUGCGGUUGAUACGGGUGGGCUGGAGUUCGGUAGGGGAGACUGGAAUUCCUGGUGUAGCGGUGAAAUGCGCAGAUAUCAGGAGGAACACCGGUGGCGAAGGCGGGUCUCUGGGCCGAUACUGACGCUGAGGAGCGAAAGCGUGGGGAGCGAACAGG